rnacentral:rRNA from 1 species
CCUACGGGCGGCUGCAGUGGGGAAUAUUGGACAAUGGGCGCAAGCCUGAUCCAGCCAUGCCGCGUGAGUGAUGAAGGCCCUAGGGUUGUAAAGCUCUUUCAACGGUGAAGAUAAUGACGGUAACCGUAGAAGAAGCCCCGGCUAACUUCGUGCCAGCAGCCGCGGUAAUACGAAGGGGGCUAGCGUUGUUCGGAAUUACUGGGCGUAAAGCGCACGUAGGCGGACAUUUAAGUCAGGGGUGAAAUCCCGGGGCUCAACCCCGGAACUGCCUUUGAUACUGGGUGUCUCGAGUCCGGAAGAGGUGAGUGGAAUUCCGAGUGUAGAGGUGAAAUUCGUAGAUAUUCGGAGGAACACCAGUGGCGAAGGCGGCUCACUGGUCCGGUACUGACGCUGAGGUGCGAAAGCGUGGGGAGCAAACAGGAUUAGAUACCCCAGUAGUC